rnacentral:rRNA from 1 species
UACAGAGGUCUCAAGCGUUGUUCGGAUUCAUUGGGCGUAAAGGGUGCGUAGGCGGCGCGGUAAGUCAGGUGUGAAAUCUCGAGGCUCAACCUCGAAACUGCACUUGAUACUGCCUUGCUCGAGUACUGGAGAGGAGAUUGGAAUUUACGGUGUAGCAGUGAAAUGCGUAGAUAUCGUAAGGAAGACCAGUGGCGAAGGCGAAUCUCUGGACAGUUACUGACACUGAGGCACGAAGGCCAGGGGAGCAAACGGG